UACGGAGGAUCCGAGCGUUAUCCUGAUUUAUUGGGUUUAAAGGGUGCGCAGGUUGUUUGAUAAGUCAGUGGUGAAAGUCUGUCGCUUAACGGUAGGAUUGCCAUUGAUACUGUUGGACUUGAAUAUGGAUGAGGUAGGCGGAAUGUGUAGUGUAGCGGUGAAAUGCAUAGAUAUUACACAGAACACCGAUUGCGAAGGCAGCUUACUAAUCCAUCAUUGACGCUGAGGCACGAAAGCGUGGGGAUCAAACAGGA
rnacentral:rRNA from 1 species